rnacentral:rRNA from 1 species
UGCAGUCGAGCGAGAAGUUCCUUCGGGAGCGAGUAGAGCGGCGAACGNNNNNNNNNCGCGUGGAUAACCUGCCCUUUAGAGUGGGACAACAGAUCGAAAGGUCUGCUAAUACCGCAUACGUCCAUUUAGUCUGCGGACUGAAUGGGGAAAGGGGGCUUCGGCUCCCGCUGAAGGAGGGGUCCGCGGCCCAUCAGCUUGUUGGUAAGGUAACGGCUUACCAAGGCUAAGACGGGUAGCUGGCCUGAGAGGAUGAUCAGCCACACUGGGACUGAGACACGGCCCAGACUCCCACGGGAGGCAGCAGUGGGGAAUAUUGGACAAUGGGGGAAACCCUGAUCCAGCCACGCCGCGUGUGUGAUGGAGGCCUUCGGGUCGUAAAGCACUGUGGGUAAGGAAGAAAAGCUGUCGGUUAAUACCCGGCAGUCAUGACUUUACUUACUUAGCAAGCACCGGCUAACUCCGUGCCAGCAGCCGCNGUAAUACGGAGGGUGCAGACGUUGCUCGGAAUCAUUGGGCGUAAAGCGCGCGUAGGCGGCUUAUUAAGUCGGCUGNGAAAGCCCCGGGCUUAACCUGGGAAGUGCGNCNGAUACUGGUAAGCUAGAGUACGGGAGAGGGUAGU